ACUUUGCCCCCCAUGUCCAUCAUGGGGAACCCUCUGUCGAAGGCGGCCGCCGUUGAUUUCGGCAUACAGUGGAGUUGCUGGGCAGUGGCAGCUGCACUAAAGACCGAAAAGUUCUAUGACCUGGCCGGUUCAGGAACAUUUCUGUUUCUAGCGUUACAGAGCUUGAAAUGGGGCGGUCGCUAUCACCUCAGGCAAAAGGUCAACACAGGAAUGGUGGCUCUCUGGGCCUUCAGGUUUGAAACAAUUUGAUACAUGCAAAUGACUCUUGACAGUGUAAAAUGAUAGGAUGAAAAUUGUCCUGUUUCACUUCUCCCAAAGACACUGAACACAGAAAACUGAGCUUCUAUGCAAAUUCAUUCAUAAGGCGUACUGAGGGUCUCAUCGAAUGGAGUGACUUAUUAUACUAACUUAAAGAUGUAAAAAGUAGUUUGACUUCAUAAAUAACACAAUAUCUGUUGCUGCCACAGUUGCAGAAUUUUCUUGGAUACUUUCUCUGUUACGUAGAAUUUUGGCUGACAGAUAAUGCGAAAAACCUUAUACCCUUUACAUGGAUAUAAACAAAGCCAUUGUUUAAAUGGCAUUACAGUAAAUGUUUAUAUUAGAACUUGGAUGUCUAUAUUGUAGUUAUCUACUUUGAAAAUAAUUACUGUAAAUUCCUUAUUUUAUGCAAAUAAUUAAUUAUGUGAUCCUGUUGUUUGGUAUCAAAUUGCGAAGAUAUUAAACGGUGAACAUUGAACUUUUACGGUAAUUUCUUAUGCUAGUUCUAAAUUCUUGGAAAACAAUAGCGAGAUUUUAAAAUAUCUGCAAGGUGGGAUUCUCAGGAUUUUAAGUGGAUAUUAAAUCCUUACGAUUAAUUAGGAAUCUACAAUAUUUAUUUCCUAGGUUGGGUUUGUUUUUGUUUACAAGAAUCCUGGUGUGCUUCUCGUGAUUUUACGCGGCUUUUAAUUCCUUGCAUUUAAUUAGGAAUCUACUGACAGUACUUGUUUAUGAUAUUGUUCAUGUAGUUUACUACUAUUAUGAAUAUAAUUGAAUUUGUUUUAUUUGCUAGGUUGGGAUUGUUUCUGUUCACAAGAAUUCUGAAGGAAGGACAGGACCGUCGCUUCAAUAAGGUCCGAGACAGACCUGGAACAUUCUUUGUGUACUGGACCAUUCAAGGUGUGUGGGUGUUUUUGACCAUCCUUCCCACGCUGAUCUUGAACUCAAAGAGGGAAGAUCGACCAAUCACGACGCAGGAUUACGUCGGAUGGUCAAUGUGGGUCACUGGCUUCCUCCUGGAGACCAUCGCAGACUCACAGAAAUCCUCUUUCAGGGCAAACCCAGAAAACCAGGGGAAGUUUAUCCGGCAUGGCCUAUGGAGUGUGGUUCAGUACCCUAACUACCUGGGGGAGAUCAUGAUGUGGUCCGGCCUCUACCUGUCCUCGACCUCCGUUCUCCGGGGGUGGGAGCACGUCAGUGUCAUCUCCCCGCUCUUCCUAAUCUUCCUGCUGACCAAGGUCAGUGGAAUCCCCCUGCAGGAAAAGUCUGCUCUCAAACGCUAUGGAGGGGAUCCAGCAUUCCAUGAACAUAUCCGGAAAACUCCGAAACUAAUUCCAUUUAUCUGGUAGAUAAUGAAGAUGCCUUGUACAUAUUAAGUGAUGAUUUUACAAGUAUAUGUUCAGUGUAGUAAAAUUCCAAAACACAUACCAUUUUUCUGGUAGAUAGUGAGUCUUACGCUAUGCAUUAUGAUAGUUGAUUAUUUAUCAAGUACAGUGUAAAAAUGAUCAAUUCAGCAAACAUCGAAACUCACUCCAUUUUUUUCUGGUGAACUCGCAAGUGCCAGAUGCCCAUUGUUUGACCAUUUAUCUUCAACAAUACAGUGUAGCAAUAUAAUAUCACAAAAAUGUUAAACUUUGUGCAAUUAUCUGAAAGAUAGUGAUAGUUAAAUACAGUGUAGACAAUGAUAUACAAAUCUUUUCUACCUCAUCACUGUGAAACAUCUUAUUAAAAAGAAAGAGAUUAAUGUCCAAAGAUUAACUUCUGUUAGUCUUUCCUUUAUUGUUAGAAUUACAACUUAAUUAAGCUGAUGAAAAGAAAAACUCUUGCAUUUCUGUAUUUAUAAAGCAAUUUCUUAUUGAGACUGUUACAUAUUUUACUGUAAAGUUUGAAAUGUAUAUAUGGACAAUUGUGCAUCAUGAAAUUCAAAUGAAAGAAUAUUCUCAUAUGUUUCAUGGGAAACCUUCCAGAUAGUUUUACUUUCCAAAAAUAUUUUGAAAAAUUCUCCAAUUUUGUGAAAAUUAUUUUUUGAUAAAUUUACAAAAUCAUAUUAUGUGCCACUUUACAUUAAUUUCACAUGAUUUUUUUUUAAAUGUACAUGUAAGUCCUUGCAAGUGAUGUAAGGCUAAAUUAUCUGGGGUUGUAAUACUUGUUGCUGAAAUGGGCACUGUUGCCCAUGAACCUAUGGUAACAAUGUUGUCACUUUUUCAAAUAAAAUGUUUGCACACUUGC
rnacentral:misc_RNA from 1 species